rnacentral:tRNA from 2 species
GCCGGGGUGGCGGAACUGGUAGACGCUAGGGACUUAAAAUCCCUUGGACUUCCGGGUCCGUGCCGGUUCGACUCCGGCCCUCGGCA